ensembl:lncRNA
GCGGACCAUUCCAAGGCAUGCAACCAAGAGCUAAGCUGGUGUCCUCUGGCAUCUGGUACAAGAGGGACUCAAAAAGCUCACACCUGGAUGAGACACGACCUUUCUGCUCUCAUUGGGAGGACUUAAUUUCAGGUCAUACCAGGCUUCCGAAGAUGCUGGAAAAUGUCAUUUCUGGCCUAUGCACAUAGUCUCAACACUGUCGUAGAGAAGAGAGAAAACUCGCUUGGUCCACAAUGCUUCCAGUACAGGCUUGAAACCUGAAGUUUGGAACCAGCUGACACUGGAGCUCCAGAAAGGUAGCUGAGCCCUGGAUGGUUGCUUAUUUAGGAUGCUGGUGUGAAGCUGAG